AAAAUCUUAACCAGUGAGAGAGGGAGUUUGGUUUUCCAGCCCCACAAGUCCUGUGGUUCCUCAGCACUUCAGUUUGGCUAGAACUCCUAUGUUAGACAAGUCACUUACUUCUCAUUCUCUUCCUUACCAGAUGCUGUUUCGAACAACCAUUCUGCAAUAAUAACAUUUCAGAUCCUUUCUACAGGAAGCCAUAAGUAUAGUAUACCCAUGUUUGCCUUCCAAGUAACCUCAGGUAAGUUUUACUCAAGUCUUGCUCCUAAUUUUCCAGCCUCCAAUAAGAUUCCUCACUGAUAGCUCUCUUUACCCUGAAAUCAGUGCCAUGUAUUUUAAGUGUUUUAUUAUGAUAAUACUCCACUUCUAAGAAUCAUAUUAUGAACUAUUCAGCUUUGCCACGUCACAACCAUGUAAUUUCAUGGGUUUGUAAAAAGAAGUAUUUCAAUCGUGUCCAUGUUUCAUACAGCAGUUAAUGGAUGGAUGCAGCUCCAGUGACUCUGACUCACACCUGCCGGUCUUUUUUAUUCUACUACUCAGGUUGAGGUUGCAGGCCUCAUACGGAGGGAACCCAUUUGGGGGUCUGAGAAGAAAAAAAAAGCCUCUGGUUGAAUGCAGCAUAAUCAUAUCUGUUCACAUUCUCAUAGCCAGAGAAAAUGACCUGGUUAAAUCCAAAAUUGAAAGGAGAAAUAUAUUCACUCUACAACAAGAAGCAGGUAGGAUUUUUUAAAAAGUGGCACGACAUACUUACCAAUAGCUGAAGAUAGCAAUUGGGAUAUUGUCAGUGGCCACAAUAACAUCGAAGUUGAGAAAAUGAGAGCUCUGGGGCCAAAAGCAG
rnacentral:lncRNA from 1 species